AAAAAACCCAAUCCGAUCCGGUCUCUAGCAGCCUCGGUCGCUCACGUUGCCUGGGAUCGAUCCUCUCUCUCGCUCGCUCGCGCACAAGAUAGGGGAAUAGAGACGCGACGGCAGCAGAGAGGGAACCUAGCCGCCACCUCAUCGGCAGACGGCAGCAGGGGACUCCUCGCCUGCAGGGACUGCUCGCCGUCUCGCCGCUCGCGCGUUGUUCCAUCCCGCCUAAUCAUGCUCCAGUGGUCCUGUUCGGCUGCCCCUGGCUCCGGUUUUGCUCAUGGGCCGGCUGGCGCCGCAGGCUCGAGCAGGCGAUGGCAACCGCCUCUGCCCGACUCGAUCAACUCUAAAGCCACAUCUUGAAGCCCAAGUAACAAUCUUGCUAUGGAAACUUCAAUUUUUAUCAUUCUUGUUCGAAUCUGGGGAGAAAGUAACAGAAGAAAUUUUGUUUCAUUUUUUUUGCGAGAAUGUGUCAUUUUCACCCUGGCAUGAAACUAAUUAAUAGAUUUUUCCCUCACUAUCCAACCCCUGAAAUAACUUCAGGAACAUCUACGCCUGAAAUAACUUCUCAUGUCCUAAGUCAGAAUAGCGCCUUCCUCUUUAGCUCAAGCAAGUAGCAACGUUUUUGGUUUGAAUAUUGUCAAUCCUGAUCCCGGUCUUUGGAGUUUUACAUGUCGAAUUGGUAUUUUUUUUUCAGAAUUGAAGUCAACGAUAAACUGUUUUGUUGUUUAUGUACUUUCUUAUGAGAUUUUUUUUAAAAGUUUCAUGUUCUCCUAAUUCUGAUGCGGACAUGGAAGGUUCAAAUCCGCCACUGUGCACUUGGGAGCUUUGCGUCCAGGCCGCUAUGUUUAUCUUUCCUCAACUCCUAAUAUCACCUGUAUCCCAACGUUAUUAUGAAUUAAUAAAGCUGCCAGGUUGCCUGUGGCGAGAUUCGUGCUGAUAUUUUUAGGUACUAUCAGUGUGGGGCAGUGGACUUAGAGGUGCAACAUGGUGACUUUCAAGCAAACGAAUCCAACAAGACCAUCUAACGAACGAUGCCCGCAAGGAGGCGCUUGGGGGAUUUAGAAGCCGGUGCUCGGGCUAGGUUAAUCGCUCCGGAAGUUCUCUGGCACACGGCAUGGCUAGCUCAUUCGGUUUGUAGGAAAUAUAGAGGAUAUUUACAGGGUUUCAACCCUUAGAAAUUUUUCCUACCUGUAGCAUUCGUUUCAUAAGAAUUGAGACCAUACAUUUCUAAGAAUU